AAUUAGUGGGUCCAUAAUUUGUCUAAUUUUGACUGAAAUAUUUGUAUUAACACUCAACUAAUUAAACAUUGGUUUCUUCAUGUUUAUUUUGCGUUUAUGGGUUUGAAUGGUAACUUUUAAUCAAAACGAUAGUUCUGUACAACUUUGAUAGCUACUGAUCACAAAACUUUAUCAAAAGCGUUAUUAUAAGUUUUACUUUCAGUUUUUUUUUUACAACUUUCUCGUACAACUCUAUCUUACAGUUUUACAUUAUUCCGAAAAAACUUAUAACUAAAUUUAUUGUACUGUUUUGUAUUACCAAUGAGACCUAUAUCAUAUUCGCUCAUACAAUUUGUUUUUAGGUGUUGAUUUCUUUGCUAAGCACUCGCCACUUUCCUAUAGUACACAUUUCAAUCCCACAAAAACAAG
rnacentral:sRNA from 1 species